rnacentral:piRNA from 1 species
UACGCCUAGAUUAGGCAGGUUUUGGAGCUA